rnacentral:rRNA from 1 species
UGACGUAGGGUGCGAGCGUUGUCCGGAAUUAUUGGGCGUAAAGAGCUCGUAGGCGGUGUGUCACGUCGGCCGUGAAAACCUGCAGCUUAACUGUGGGCGUGCGGUCGAUACGGGCAUCACUGGAGUUCGGCAGGGGAGACUGGAAUUCCUGGUGUAGCGGUGAAAUGCGCAGAUAUCAGGAGGAACACCGGUGGCGAAGGCGGGUCUCUGGGCCGAAAUUGACGCUGAGGAGCGAAAGCGUGGGGAGCAAACAGG